CCUACGGGAGGCUGCAGUGAGGAAUAUUGAUCAAUGGACGAGAGUCUGAACCAGCCAAGUAGCGUGAAGGAUGACUGCCCUAUGGGUUGUAAACUUCUUUUAUAUGGGAAUAAAAUGUUCCACGUGUGGGAUUUUGUAUGUACCAUAUGAAUAAGGAUCGGCUAACUCCGUGCCAGCAGCCGCGGUAAUACGGAGGAUCCGAGCGUUAUCCGGAUUUAUUGGGUUUAAAGGGAGCGUAGGUGGAUUGUUAAGUCAGUUGUGAAAGUUUGCGGCUCAACCGUAAAAUUGCAGUUGAAACUGGCAGUCUUGAGUACAGUAGAGGUGGGCGGAAUUCGUGGUGUAGCGGUGAAAUGCUUAGAUAUCACGAAGAACUCCGAUUGCGAAGGCAGUUCACUGGACUGCAACUGACACUGAGGCUCGAAAGUGUGGGUAUCAAACAGGAUUAGAUACCCGAGUAGUC
rnacentral:rRNA from 1 species